rnacentral:rRNA from 1 species
UUGUCUUCUAAAUAAAGACUAGUAUGAACGGCUAAAUGAGGACAAACCUGUCUCUUAUAACCAAUCAGUGAAACUGAUCUUCCAGUACAAAAGCUGGAAUUAAAACAUAAGACGAGAAGACCCCGUGGAGCUUAAAAUAAACAACUAAUCACACUGACACUAGUGAACUAUUUUGAGUUGGGGCGACUUCGGAAAAAAUAAAACUUCCGAGCACAGAACCACCAGUUCUAACUAAGGCCUACAAGCCUAAGUAAAAAUUGACCCGGCCUUACCGACCAACGAACCAAGUUACCCCGGGGAUAACAGCGCUAUCUUCUUCAAGAGUCCCUAUCAACAAGAAGGUUUACGACCUCGAUGUUGGAUCAGGACACCCAAAUGGUGCAGCCGCUAUUAAAGGUUCGUUUGUUCAACGAUU